AGAGUUUGAUCCUGGCUCAGGAUGAACGCUGGCGGCGUGCCUAAUACAUGCAAGUCGAGCGAACAGAUAAGGAGCUUGCUCCUUUGACGUUAGCGGCGGACGGGUGAGUAACACGUGGGUAACCUACCUAUAAGACUGGAAUAACUCCGGGAAACCGGGGCUAAUGCCGGAUAAUAUUUAGAACCGCAUGGUUCUAAAGUGAAAGAUGGUUUUACUAUCACUUAUAGAUGGACCCGCGCCGUAUUAGCUAGUUGGUGGGGUAAUGGCUUACCAAGGCAACGAUACGUAGCCGACCUGAGAGGGUGAUCGGCCACACUGGAACUGAGACACGGUCCAGACUCCUACGGGAGGCAGCAGUAGGGAAUCUUCCGCAAUGGGCGAAAGCCUGACGGAGCAACGCCGCGUGAGUGAUGAAGGCCUUCGGAUCGUAAAACUCUGUUAUUAGGGAAGAACAAAUGUGUAAGUAACUGUGCACGUCUUGACGGUACCUAAUCAGAAAGCCACGGCUAACUACGUG
rnacentral:rRNA from 1 species